rnacentral:rRNA from 1 species
AAUCUUGCGCAAUGGGCGAAAGCCUGACGCAGCGACGCCGCGUGAGUGAAGAAGGCCNNNGGGUUNUCAAACUCUGUCCUCAGNGACNAAGCAAGUGACGGUACCUGAGGAGGAAGCCCCGGCUAACUACGUGCCAGCAGCCGCGGUAAUACGUAGGGGGCGAGCGUUGUCCGGAAUCAUUGGGCGUAAAGGGUGCGUAGGCGGCCUUUUAAGUCAGAUGUGAAAGGCUACGGCUUAACCGUAGUUAGCAUUUGAAACUAAAAGGCUUGAGUGCAGGAGAGGAGAGUGGAAUUCCUAGUGUAGCGGUGAAAUGCGUAGAUAUUAGGAGGAACACCAGUGGCGAAGGCGACUCUCUGGACUGCAACUGACGCUGAGGCACGAAAGCGUGGGGAGCGAACA